rnacentral:ncRNA from 12 species
GGGUCCGGGAAUAACCCGGAGGAAAUGAGUGGUCGGGCCGCCAUUC